GAUGAACGCUGGCGGCGUGCCUAAUACAUGCAAGUCGAGCGAACAGAUAAGGAGCUUGCUCCUUUGACGUUAGCGGCGGACGGGUGAGUAACACGUGGGUAACCUACCUAUAAGACUGGAAUAACUCCGGGAAACCGGGGCUAAUGCCGGAUAACAUUUAGAACCGCAUGGUUCUAAAGUGAAAGAUGGUUUUGCUAUCACUUAUAGAUGGACCCGCGCCGUAUUAGCUAGUUGGUAAGGUAACGGCUUACCAUGGCAACGAUACGUAGCCGACCUGAGAGGGUGAUCGGCCACACUGGAACUGAGACACGGUCCAGACUCCUACGGGAGGCAGCAGUAGGGAAUCUUCCGCAAUGGGCGAAAGCCUGACGGAGCAACGCCGCGUGAGUGAUGAAGGUCUUCGGAUCGUAAAACUCUGUUAUUAGGGAAGAACAAAUGUGUAAGUAACUGUGCACGUCUUGACGGUACCUAAUCAGAAAGCCACGGCUAACUACGUG
rnacentral:rRNA from 1 species